CAACGUUCAAAUUGGUUCACAAAUCGACGUCGUACAUUUAAGGGAAGCCUCACAUAUCGAUUUUGUCCAUGAGAAACGUCAUAUGUUCGUUUCUCUGGAGACCCCCCCACCCCCCCUUAGAAACGUCACACAUAGUUAUCGAUAUUUUGUUCUUAUAGUACACAUAAGGUAAUUUUCUACUAUUUUUUUCGGUCGGCUAUUGGAGAUGCUUCCGCGAGGAAUAUGUCAUCUUCUGCUGACAUACCCUUUUUUAUUAAUAUAUAUAUAUACAUGAACUUCAAAAUUUCCAACGUUUCUCAAAAUUUCCAACGUUUCUGAUAAUUUUAGCGCGUUUUUCUCAAAAUUUGAGUGUUUCCAAUACAAGAAAGGCGUAAUAAUAUCAAUGUAUAGAUAUAGAACAGGUAUCAAUGCAUGCAUGAUAUACAUCAUGAAAUACCGAUAAUGUACACCAUGUUAUACUGAUUUGGAUGAAGUUGAUCGUACUUCCAAGAGUAAAAGUCCCCUCAGCAACAUUUGUAAAGGCUCUCUGUUCCCAUUUGCCAAUACUACGCCAUCUUCAAUCGUGAUGCAUUGUGGUGUAGAUAAAGCUAGUAAAGUAUAUGUAUGUCCCUGAACAUACGUAUACAAACACGAGAAUACAUAGUAUAGACGCGAAAUUACUGUUUGUUUCUGAACAAAGAGUAAAACACUUCGAUAUUUCAAAGGAAGACACUUCAUUACGUAUAUAAUAGUGCUAUACUAGCUUCCUGACAAAUUGCCUUCGUUCACCAUGGAGUUGUUCUCCACGUUUUUCAAGUAGUUUAGAAACAAACCAUAGAAGUUAAACACGGAUACACACACUCACAAAUCUAACCUUAUAUCCGUUUUUCUUUCGCCAGAAUUAUACUCCAAGGCUUACGACCUCUUCUUCAUGUUUUCAUUUCAAUGAACUGGUAACAGAAGCGCUUGAUAUGAUUGGAAAUUUAAACAAACAGGUAUGCGAAAACUGACCUUUGUUUCGCUCAGUUGGAGUCCGACAGUUUUAUGAAAUUGCGUUUUGAAAUUGCGUUUAAUUAAAGUAAUCGCAAGUGCGGGUAGGAAAUGAGCAAGAGACUGUUGAUAAACGUCUUAGUUUUCGAACGACAAAUACAUAUGCAUAUAGUGGACUGGCGAAAAGUAGUAUGUGCAUGAGAGUUGAACGUUGUUAAUGACAGAAAUUUCAUAAAUUUCAUCACAGCUUGAAAGAGCAUCACAAAAUUAAAUUAUAGUAAUCAUGAUUCCGAAGUUUCGUUGCGAAAUGUUGUAAAAUGCGGAUAAUAUAGCCUUGCGAAAUUUGCAAUUUUCAGUCAUUUUGUAUUACAAACGGGAAAUUGAUGCCCUAAUACCCGAUUGGGCUGUCAUUUUCCCGUUUGUAAUACAAAAUGACUGAAAAACGGUACACUUCGCAAGGCUAUAUUAUCCGCGUUUUACAACAUUUCGCAACGAAACGUUGGAAUAUUACUAAUUUUGUGAUGCUCUUUCAAACUGUGAUGAAAUAUAUAGAUCAAAAUUUUAGUUAUAAGGGGAAAGGUCCAUUAAUCGACAAAAUCAAACAAGUUGUGUUUUAAGAUUCUUGGUGACAAUGCUUUCAUUUCUCACACUUUUCUUAGCGUAAACUAGCAAUGGAAUUGUUUUAUACAGUUUGUUUUUAUUGGACUCGUCCAGGGUUUAUUGGACUCGUCAACCUGAUUUCAAUGCAUGUUAAGUAGAAAUGUUGACACAUGUUGCCUCGUGAUUUGUAAUGUAUGUGUAAACAUUUUCAAUUAACAUGCGUAGAAAUCAGAUUUUGUUGCAAGUUGCAGCAAUUUUGUUGCCCGUAUUACUCUACCUUAAGACAUACAUCUGGUUGCGAAAUUUGAAUGAUUAAUUACAUAAAACAUAAUUUAUAUUUUUUGGAAUUUGAGAAAGCAUGCAUAAUUCAUAUUAUUUUGAGGAAGGUUUGAAAACUUGAAAUCUUACCCGGAGGAAGGUUGAACACUUUUUGCAAUUCUGUUUUAAUAUACCCACAAUAACAAACGCAAGACCCUCACCUGCUUAUUAUUUUAUACUACAAGUUAGUACCACUAGGACCAAUAUAGAUGAUGUCAGGCGCUUCUAUAUGUAUCAUGAGCCUCUGGCAUGGGUAAAUUGGGCAACCACGCCCGAUAUAUAAAGACGUAAAUGAUUUUUGUCUCAACUUUUCCCCAUGUUUUGCAGGGCAAUCAUGGUUAAAUUGCGGACGGGCACUGAAGUGCAAAACGUCAGGGGCACUACUAGUUGCAGAUCGUUUGGUUACGAUUCAUGGAAGCAACUGUAUGAAGGUGCAGUUGGUGAUUGGCCUGAUGUAUGUCCUGUGGAUUAUUGUACCCGGAAUGCUAUAUAUGGAGCCCAUGUAAGGGUCCAUUUCAAUCGUGGUGGGGUAUGGAUUAUACCCAUGUGUGCGAAACACAAUCAUUAUACGAACAACGAUUGAAUGACUAUUACUGAUUCAAACACAAUUGCAGUGUACGCUGAGAAGGAACAUACAUGAAGUCUGUCUGAGAUAGAAUUUGGUUUUUGACAAUACACAGUUUCGAAAUGAAUGUACUGUUUAUAUAGUUGUAGAAGUGAUGAAUCAUUAAUAAGGCUACUGAGCAAUCUUGUCAAUAUAUUUAGGUCAAAUAUAAUUACCGUACAAUUAUAAAUUUCAGCAAGG